rnacentral:lncRNA from 1 species
UUCCACUUGAACAAAUCUCCAUUUGUGAUGUUAAAGGCUUCGUUUCUAGCAUAGGGAUCAACCGUAGCCCAUAUCUGUUGCUCUGCAAUUAGAUCUGCAUCCGAUGCGUCUGAGUAACAGUCCCACGCCGCCUUGCUUCCAGGGAACUUCAAGGGGAUUCCCUCGUGCUUGCAGAUUGCUGCGUAGAUGCAGAGAGUCCCCAGUAUGUUCAUCAUGCUAUAUGGGGAAAACCCGAAAAUGAUGACGGGGCGAUGCACGGACCAAGUCAAAUCAUCCUUCUUCUCACACUCUUCGAACAGGAUGUCUUCCAGAGUGUAGUAGAAAUUAGGGGCGUCCAAUCUAGGUAGAUCUUCGUGGUAUGGGGGAUCGUGGGGUUUGAUCUUGCCAAAGGCCUCGAAAGGUCCGAUGUAGUGUUUGCCGCCGGUUUGGAGGCAGAUGUGGCGGAGAUUGGGGGCGUUGGGGAUCAACGCUCGGAGAACGUUCCGCAGCAUGGUGCCGUUGGCCUCGCAGUUCUCAAUCUCGGUGGCCCGAUUGGUCCAGGUGACGUAGAAGACGUGGGUAACGUCGGUGAGAGGCGAGAGCUUGGCGAGGGCAUCCUCUGAAUCGGAGAUGUCGCAUUGGAUGUACUCGACGGGAUGAUCGGCGUUCCAAUCGGGACGUGGUCGGCGAGCCACGCCGUAAACCUUCCAUGGACCGCCGGGAGUGUCGGAGAGCGGGAGAAUUUCAGCGAGGCUGUUGC